AUCAAGGAACUGUGCCCGAAUGUCCAAGGACCACUUUGAUAGAGUGGCUAAUAGGGGUUGAAGUCCCCUCAGUUCUU
rnacentral:tRNA from 1 species